GUGGGGAAUUUUGCGCAAUGGGCGAAAGCCUGACGCAGCAACGCCGCGUGAGUGAUGAAGGCUUUCGGGUCGUAAAGCUCUGUCAGAGGGGAAGAACCGCCAGGUGGCUAAUAUCCACUUGGUCUGACGGUACCCUCAAAGGAAGCACCGGCUAACUCCGUGCCAGCAGCCGCGGUAAUACGGAGGGUGCGAGCGUUGUUCGGAAUUAUUGGGCGUAAAGCGCGUGUAGGCGGUCUGUUAAGUCUGGUGUGAAAGCCCCGGGCUCAACCCGGGAAGUGCAUUGGAUACUGACAGACUUGAGUACGGGAGAGGAGAGUGGAAUUCCGAGUGUAGGGGUGAAAUCCGUAGAUAUUCGGAGGAACACCGGUGGCGAAGGCGGCUCUCUGGACCGAUACUGACGCUGAGACGCGAAAGCGUGGGGAGCAAACAGGAUUAGAUACCCGAGUAGUCC
rnacentral:rRNA from 1 species